rnacentral:rRNA from 1 species
GACGAACGCUGGCGGCGUGCUUAACACAUGCAAGUCGAACGGAAAGGCCCUGCUUUUGUGGGGUGCUCGAUUGGCGAACGGGUGAGUAACACGUGAGUAACCUGCCCUUGACUUUGGGAUAACUUCAGGAAACUGGGGCUAAUACCGGAUAGGAGCUCCUGCUGCAUGGUGGGGGUUGGAAAGUUUCGGCGGUUGGGGAUAGACUCGCGGCUUAUCAGCUUGUUGGUGGGGUAGUGGCUUACCAAGGCUUUGACGGGUAGCCGGCCUGAGAGGGUGACCGGCCACAUUGGGACUGAGAUACGGACCAGAAUGCUACGGGAGGCAGCAGUGGAGAAUAUUGCACAAUGGGCGGAAGCCUGAUGCAGAAACGCCGCGUGCGGGAUGACGGCCUUCGGGUUGUAAACCGCUUUCGCCUGUGACGAAGCGUGAGUGACGGUAAUGGGUAAAGAAGCACCGGCUAACUACGUG